CAAGGACCGAGAGAGGGGAAGAGAAAGAGAGACACACACGGAGCCGGAUUCAGGCUGAGAGAAGCAGAGACCAGAGCAGGGUGGGAUCAACUCCGCAGCGCCAUUCACAUGCCAGAGCUCCCCGUGGGGUCAGGCUGAAGCUGGACGCCGCUGAGACACAUCCUAGCUUAGCCCUGGCCCAGGCCCUGCCCUGCAUCGCUCUCUCCUUUUCUCCGUAAGCAUUCCUCAGUGAGUCACCUGCAUUCCAGCCUUCGUUUCAGGCUCUGCUGGGCACCCGGGCCUGAGACACAGCCCCAGGGACGCCUCCCCGGCUCCGCUUCUGGUCUCAUCUCCAGGGAGCUCUCCUCGCAGGCCUCAUUGUGGCCGUUGUUUGACACUUGCUCAGAUGAUUAUGCGUCUGAGGUCUGUCCUCUACCCCAGAAUACAAGGCAGGGAUCAUAUCGACUGCUCCUGGCUGCGUCCCCAGUGCCCAACACAACGCUUAGCACAGUAGGUGGUCAAUAAAUACUUGUUGAAUGACUGAAUGAAUAAUGGCUGGGCGAAUUGGAGGUUGUCGGGGCUGGGCAUCACUGAGGCCCCAGGUUCUUCCCAUCUGGUGAUUCUGCCAUCUCCUCCCAGCCUAGCUCCUCAUAGCUCCAUGACAGCUGCCAAAGCUCCUGCCAUCUCUUCCUUACACAGCCAUGGCCAAGGCAAGAAAAGGCCCUCAAGUGUCCCCUUAGGAAGAAACUGUUCCCAGAAGUCCCUUGGCAGACUUCCUCACCUCGCUGCCAUAGUCGCAUUCCUUGUCCAGCCUCAGCCAAUCGCUGCGAGGCGAGGGAGAGGGUGACGUUUGACUUGGGCCAAUCAGCAUUCGCCCUCAGGGUGCCGUGGGUGGAGUCUGCCCUCCCCAGUAAGAGGGGAUCCAGCUGGGGCCAGGGUUGUGGACCCCUGUGCCGGCGUUCCCGGCAUCCCUGAGGCUGUGGACCCCCACCUGCCUUCCCUCCUGGGAGGGGGGGGUCUUUGGGUGGCGGCUGUGGGAAGGGAGGUGGGGCUGCGUGAGGGUUUUGAGCACAGAAGGUGGCCAGACCCCUUCACCUCAGUAAAUAUUUAUAGAGCCAGGAGCGGAGAGGAGGUAGGCGGCCGAGGGUGUGUGUGCGGAAAAGGGGCCUGGGCCAGAGAUCCGAGGGAGAGACAGAGACCCAGCGGAGAGGCCGAGAGACGCGGAGGGAAAGAGGGAGGAGGGAGACAGGGACGGGGAGAGACAGACAUUUUGCCAGGAAGGCCUUGCGUCAGUGCCUUGAACAGUCAGGCCCGUCAUGGUGGGAGUGACGUCCCUGUCCCCUUCUCUCUGGCUUGGCGUCCGCCUCUGCUGGAUGGGGUAAAUGACCCUCUUUCACGGGACUGUCCCGUGGAAACCCAUCACUCUGGGAUUGUCAUUGACCCCGUGGCCUCCUUUGGCCUAUAAAUGGCCUGGAGUGGUGGUGGGAAUCGUGGCCCUGGUGACAGGGCACACGUGCUGGAGGGGUCUGAAGCUUGUGUCCCGUCCGUGCCCCACAGGGCCAGUGGGACAGGGCCGGGGCGAGGGAGGUAUGCCGGCUGCCUGGAAACCCUAGGGGUGUGCUGGCAGUAACGACAAUUCUGCUAACAAUAAUAAUGCCCACUGUGUUCUGAGUGCCCCCAGGUGCCAGACACCAGCCACGAGGGGGGCGCUGCUUAACGCCCUGUAGCCUGUCAUUCCCAUUUUACGGGGGAGGAGACAGCCAUGGUGGCAUCCUGACAAGAGAGCCGGCGUUCAGAGUCAGACCCUGAGCCCGAGUCUCUGCUCCACCCCUGACAGGCUGGGUGACCGGGGCCAGUCACUUCCUCUCUCUGAGCCUCAGUUUCCCCAUUUGCAAAAUAGGAAAAUGACAGUUUAAAGGUUGACAUGAGGAUUAAAUGACAUGACGUGCAGAAAGCGCUCAGCACGGGGCCAGGCACACAGCAAGUGCUCAAUAAUCAUUAAAUGGUGUGCUGGGUAACAGUUUUACAGUAAUUUAAGGAUAAUUCCUUUAAUUGCUCCCGUUUUUUCAGAGGAAGAGUUGAGGUCCAGAGAGGGAAGUGACUUGCCCAAGGUCACCAGCCCAGUGGAGGAGCUGAGCUUUCAACUGGGUGGGCUCUGAGGCCAGCGCUCUCUCUGCCCGCCGUGCCACCAUCACGGCCAGGCCCAGGCUGGCCUGUUUGGGACUCAGUCCUUGUGGGUCAAGAGGAUGCCGGGGGCCUGGCCUGGCAUCAGCCAUGAUCACCCGUUGGGGCGGUUGCAACAUCCCCUCGCUCCGCCAGUCAAUAAAGGGUGCCCAUUGCAAAACUCGGCGGAGAAAUUAAGUGUUGUGUCAUCCUGCGGCCAGGCCCUGGGUGCCCCUUUCCUGCCCGGAGGCCUGGGUGGGGCCAGCUCCUCACUCUCGCCCUCCACGGCUGGCCUUGGAGAGCUGGGGUCGGGGUCAGCAGGGGGCUUCGGGGAGUGGGCAGGGUCCGGACCGCGCUCUGGGUCCACCCACGGCCAACCACUCUCAGGAGGGGCAGGUCCGUCCUCCUGGGUGCUCGGGCCCAGACGCGGGUGAGUCGACUCUUCUCUUGCCCCACAUCCAGGAAUCGGUCAGGAAGUCCUGUCGGCUCUCCCUUUAAGAUACAUCAGAAUCCAGCCAGGGUCCCCUCCACCUCCAACCAGGGGGUCAGAGCACCUUCUGCGGCCUCACGACUCCACCUUCCUCCGCUUGGCCCACUCCCCACGCGUGGCCGAGGGGCCCGUUGCUUCCAGGUGGGUCCUAAGUCGGCUCUCGGCCCUCUGCCCAGAACCCUCCAUGGCUCCCGUCUCCGAGUCUUCCCGAGGGCACAGGGCCCUGCCUGCUCCGGCCCCCGGCCUUUCCACCUGUCUCACUGUUCUCUCCCUGGCUCAUGCAUUCCCGCCACACGGGCCUCCCUGUCGCACUGGGCAGGGCUGACCUCCUUUCACUGCCCUUCCCUCGGCCUUCGGGCUCUUCCCCCAGUUCUGCCGCACAGCUGGGCCCCUUGCCUUACUCAGGUCUCAUCUCAAGGUCACCGCCUCCUGGAGGCCUUCCCUGGUUACCCUGCUAGCUGUCACCCCAGUCCUUCUUCUUGACUUCCACCACGUGAUACAUUAUUUAUUUGUUUGUCUUUCUCCUUCCUUAGAUAGGGCCUGUUGUCUGUCUUGUUCAUGAUGACCCCCGGCGCUCAGCCUGGGCCUGGCACACAGUAGGUAUUCCACAGAGAUGUGCUGAAUCCGUGAAGGGGUGGCAGGAGGGGUGACAUUGGUGCAGAUCAUGCUGCCGUGAAUCGCAAGCCCCCUUCUCCGGCUGGUGGCGUGCGGACGGUGCUAUGGGCACACUCCGCGGCCUGCAGGUCGCAGCUGGGGGGUCCUCCUGGCUGCCCUGUCGAGUGGCCCGUGCUGCCCAGCUCCCUGACGCGCUCACCCGGCGCUGGGCUGCUGUGUUCCCCUGCUUCUCAUCAGCCUCCUCCCCAGACCCGGAGCCCUCUGAGGACCGGCCCUCAUCUGCCUCGGUUCCACUGCUGUCCCUGGUGCCCAGCAUGGGGCCUGGCACCCUGUGCGGGUAUUGGAGGCUGGCUGAUCAAGCUUUGUGUCACAUGCCCAUUUGCAGGGCCAGUUGUGGCCAGGAGGGAGGUACCAGGAGACGCUGCGCCCGGCCCUGAGGCCUGCGGAGUCAGGGCGAGAAAGGGGCCGCUGGGCCCUGAGCGUGAGGACCUGGGGUCAUCCUGGGCUCACACCGAGUCCUAAUCUGAUCUCCUGUCUGGGCCACUCACAGCAGAUCCAGUCACCAGCCGCAGUGUGCUAACUCACUCUGGACCUAUCUCCACGCUCCACCUCGAUGCUUAUCGGCUUCCUUAAUUAAGCGAAGGUGCAGCGCGGCAGGCGAUGCCCGCAGCCUGCAGGCGAGUCGGCCCGGCCCCCUAAGCCGGGAUAAUAGCUGCUCCCACGCGGGCUGAGGCCUGCGCUGCCAGCUCCCUCCUGCCCAGUUCCAGGCCUGGGCGGGACAGGCCUGCUGAGACCUAGGGAGCCACAAACACUCACCACCGAGGCCUUAAACCGGCGGUGGCGCAUGGGCCAGGUUGGCCUCCAGGUGCGUUGGGUUUGGCCCAUGUGGUUCUUUUGCUGAAAGUCAAAAUGAGCUGCCAACACUGAAAAAUUAGGACACUGUCUGCAAACAUCUGGAUCUCUGGAAGAUGCGGGGACUCUGGGCUCACAGGUGCUGUGUGCUGGAGCUGAGGAGUGGCUGUCCCCACACAGGGGACAUGGCGUCAGUCGCCCCCCCCCCCAUUUCACGUUGUGUCCCUACCUGGCUCACGUGGGCAGUUGAAGGUGCCACCUCCGCUCUAGGAUUAGAGGUCAGUUGCCAUUUGCAAGAAGGGACACGGAGGCUCAGAAAAGGCAAGUGACUCAACCAAUGAUGCACAGUAAGCCUGGAGCUCAGGUCACCGUCAGCGGGCACGUCCUUCCUGAGCACCCACCGUGUGCCAGGCACUGGGGACACAGAGGGACCAUCACAGAGCCAGCCUUCUGGGGGUGACGGUCUUCUGCCCCACAGCUGUAUUGUCCCCUUUAUCGCUGGGUGACAGUGUCUGUUGAGACAGGUCCUUUCUUAUCCCCGUGAGGCAGCUGCAAGUAGGUUCCCCACCGCGGCUGGGCCCGUCCCAGGACAGGGGCACAGCCAUCGUGGAAGGAAGCCCCUGGCAAGCGUGCCUGCCCCCGGGACCCCCGCUCUGCGCCCUGGGCCUUCUGAGAGCAGGGGGGCGAGCGGCGUCUGGUGGGAGGAGUGAGGAGGGUGGGAGCGGGGUGGGGACGGGGGCGUGAGCAGAGGGGGCAGUGGUGUCAGCUAGACAGAGCGCGAGGACGGCUCCAUCCUGGGUGAACCAAAGGUGAAUCAGGAAGGCUUCUCCCACUGCCCUCUGAAGGCAAGGCGUGGAGGGGCGAGCCGCAGACCUGUCCCAGGUCCCCACCGGCGAGUCUAGGAAAAAGCCAUUUGUGCACCUGGCUUGGGAGAACGCCCCGCCCCUCCUGCAGCGCAGCCCCUGGUCAGGGGAGGAACUGUGGCCUGGAGCCCCCGGGCCCUCAGCCCUGGACCCGGCCUGGGUCCCCAUGGACGCCAAGGCCGUCAGGGCUCCUGCAGACCUGCCCGCCUGCCAGGAGCCACCGCUGAACAGCACGAAGCAGCCUGGCCCCGAGGCCGGCUCCCCACUGACGCGGGCGUGAAUAACAGUCCCGGCGGUCAUGUGCGUUUGCUAAAAAUAACCUUGACAUACUUUUGCGUUGGGAAACAAUGUGGAUUCCAAACAUUCUCAAAGGGCAGAGAGGGGAAAAAAAGGAAGAAUGGAAAUCAAGUUUUCGAGCUUAGUAAUUAAUUAGCCUGUAAACAAAUGACUCACGCUCUUUCCUGGCUAUUUUUCUUUCCGUUCUGCGUGGAUUUUCGCAGGGGCCCGGAGAAGGAGGCCGAGUGAGCCAGCCGAGCGGAUAGGCUGGACGGGGCCCAGAUGCGUCUCCCAGGGACGAGGAGGGGGACUGUCCCGAGGACGAGUUGGCCAGCUGGAGAGUGCGAGGAACAGCUUCAGACAAGCUCUGUGCUGGCUCAGAGAUGCUACCUGACAAUCUCUGACAUUGGUGUGUUGUCACGUCCGUUGUGCGGACAGAGAAACCGAGACCCAGAGAGGAGCUGUGCCGUGUGCAAGGCCACAUGGUUACAAGUGGGAGCCCAGACUGGAAUCCAGGUCCGACGACAAAGACUGUGCUUUUAACCCCUUUUCUGGGCCACGGACCUUGGUUCAAAUACCAGCUCCACCACUUAGAUGCUGUGUGACCCCGGGCAAGUCACUUUACUUCUCUGAUCUCGGGUAUCUCGCUACAUUAAAUGGGGAUGUGGACCCCUGCCCUGCAGGGCCGCUGGGCAGAGUUGGGAAGUUCUGGGCGAAUGGCCGCUGGCACACAGGGGCUCGAAAUGUGUGCCCCCUCCCCACUCCACUGAGUUCUGCCCGCCUUUGGCCUCCCUCCUGGGCCGGCGGCUCUGUGGAGUCCACCCUCCGGGCCCCGCCGCCCACUGGGUGUUGAUUCACCCCGGCCACGAGCCUCUUGCCUCGGCCUGUGCUCUCUUCCUCCUUUUCUUGGUGGGCCCACUGCCUUCUCCGAUUGCCAAAGCUCCUCCCAGGGACGGGCGGGCGGCGGGGGGACCCCAUCCUCCCACAGAAUGUCUCCACCGCUUCCCCAUCCUCCCACCCUCACCACGCCCGGCUGAGGUCACCAGCGCGAGGCCUGGUCCAGGGACACGGGUCACAGUUGGUCCACUUAAUCAUCAUGGGGCAGGUAGGGCCCUGGCUGGUCCAGGGUCCCCCGCGGGGGCCAGGCUGGUGGAGGGGGUGGCCGCCAAAGGAUGAAUUCUGGGACAAAUGGUGCUCCGGCCCAUGGCAAGCGCGUGCACGGUGGAUGGCUGAGGGCGCGUGCAUUGAUGGCGGGGGCCGGGGGGAGGCAUCUUGGGGAAGGCUUCCUGGAGGAGGCGAGUCAGGAGCCAGGGGUGCAGAGGGGAGAUGAAGGGCGUGGGCACUGGGCCAGCUCGCCUGGGCUCGAGUCUCAGCUCGCCCCUUUCCCGCUGUGUGGCCCCGAUCAAGUUCACAUCUCUCUCUGAGCCUCGGUUUCCUCGUUUGGAAAAUGAGAAAAUGAUCGUAACACCCCUUGCAGAGGGUGGUGUGGAGGAAGUGAGACGAUGUAGACAAGGUGUCGGGAGCAGGCCGGGCACACAGCUAGCGCUUAAUACAGGUCAGCUGCUCUUCUUACUCUUACUAUCAGUGUGGUGGAAAGUUCUAGAAUGUCAGCUUCAGACAGGCCUGGGUGCAGGUCUCAGUUUUCCUCGCCUCUGGGUCCUCGAGGCCCUCCCUCUCCGCGCCCCAGCUUUCCUCACCUGGGAAUGGAGCUGUUUUGACCUCAUGGGGUUCAUUGUGAGCAUGAGGCGGGUGAAUCCUGUAAAUGCUCAGCACAGUGCCUGGCACACAGUAGGUGCUCAAGAAGUGGUUGGCGUCCCCCCGGCCUUGUGGCCUUGUGGCCUUGUGAGUAAGAGCAGGUUGGAGUGUCAGCCUGGUGCAUCCCAGCUCUGCCUGCCCAGCUUGCCGUGGGCCUUGGGGCCGUGGGCGGAAAGUGCCGUUCUGGUGCCUGGCACAUAGUAGGUGCGUGGUCGGUGGGACUAAACUCGGGACCUUGUGUCCCCGAUGACGGUGUGAGGCCCCCCUGGUGACUUCCUUCCCUGUGAGGUGGGGUGGUGCUCCCACUGUUGCGGCGAGGAAGCUGAGGCUCAGAGAGGUGAGGUCGCCAGCUGGAGGCCGGGCCCUCCAUCUGCUUGGCUCCCGAGCCUACCUCUCUGUCAGGGGGUCCCUGGGUGUGCGCCCUGCUGGGGGACGUCCCGCUGGGCCCUCAGGGCCACCGUGCAUGCUGACAGAAGCUUUCUAGGGUUAAGGAGAGGAGUGACAGCCGCGACUUGGCACUGGGUCCCGGGGUCCACAGGCCGUUCCCAGGGCCCCUGUCCCGGGCUGGGGACAGGAGUGGCUCUGUGGAUAUGGCGCUGGCUCGGGGUCUUGGGGCAGCGGGCAGCGCCCCCAGGCCCGGCCGGGUCUGUCUCCUCCCCGACCCGGCCCCAGGGCACUCUGCUGUUUCUCGUUUGUCACUAUCCAGCCCUUUGGGCCAUGUUUUCUGUCCAGAGUCUGGAUCUCCUCCGGGCGUCUGAGAACGCCCGGCUCUGUGCGCAGAUUCCACGUCCCACCAAGGGCCGCCCUCCGCCAAACUCCGCACGCGGGCUCAUCCCUGCUCCCGCGCCUGUGCGUCUGUCGCUCCUUCUGUUGUUCUC